AGGACGAACGCUGGCGGCGUGCUUAACACAUGCAAGUCGAACGAGAUCCAUUCAGUAGCAAUACUGAUGAAGAUCUAGUGGCGAACGGGUGCGUAACACGUGAGGAACUUGUCCCGGUCUCUGGGAUAACAGUUGGAAACGACUGCUAAUACCGGAUGACGUCGGAACUUCGCAUGGAGUGCUGAACGAAAGGGUUACUGGAUCGGGAGAGCCUCGCGGCCUAUCAGCUUGUUGGUGGGGUAAUGGCCUACCAAGGCAUCGACGGGUAGCUGGUCUGAGAGGAUGAUCAGCCACACUGGGACUGAGACACGGCCCAGACUCCGUACGGGAGGCAGCAGGUGGGGAAUCUUGCACAAGUGGACGAAAGCCUGAUGCAGCAACGCCGCGUGACGGAAGAACGGCCCGUCGGUUCGUAAACCGCUUUACGAAGAAGGAACGAAACGUGACGGUUACUUACGAAGAAGAAGGU
rnacentral:rRNA from 1 species